GAACUAUUUAAGGAAAUCAUUUCGUUGAAAUUGUUAUAACACGUCAUGUUGAACGAAUCGAAAUGACCAGGAAUGAACGAACCUACAGUAAACCGACUCAAAAAUAUAAAAAAUCGCUGAUAUUAUUUAAGAUGGAUAUCGAAUUCUACGACGCCUAAAGUAAGCACCGGUGACUUGCAAGUACAGCUUGCUUCAAUUUAAACUUACAAUAACGCACUGAACGUAUUGAUUUUCGAAUUAAACGAGUUUGAAUUUCGUA